GGAGAGUUUGAUCCUGGCUCAGGACGAACGCUGGCGGUGCGCCUAAUGCAUGCAAGUCGAACGGACGGCUUAGAUUCGUCUUUGUCGUUAGUGGCGGACGGCUGAGUAACACGUAAGUGACCUACCCUGAAGAGGGGGAUAACCCCGAGAAAUCGGGCCUAAUACCCCGUAAGCUCCGGCCUCUACGGUGGCCGGAGGAGAGGUUCUCGACUAGUUCGGGUUCCGCUUUAGGAGGGGCUUGCGGCCUAUCAGGUAGUUGGUGGGGUAAUAGCCUACCAAGCCGAAUACGGGUAACCGGUGUGAGAGCAUGAUCGGUCAGAGGGGGACUGAGACACGGCCCCCACUCCUACGGGAGGCAGCAGCAGGGAAUCUUGCGCAAUGGGCGAAAGCCUGACGCAGCGACACCGCGUGGGGGAAGAAGGCUUUAGGGUCGUAAACCCCUUUUCUCAGGGAGGAGAAUGGACAGUACCUGAGGAAUAAGGUACGGCUAACUACGUGCCAGCAGCCGCGGUAAUACGUAGGUACCGAGCGUUGUCCGAAUUUACUGGGCGUAAAGGGCGCGUAGGCGGCUUGUUAAGUCUCAUGUGAAAUCUCCCGGCUCAACUGGGAGGGGACAUGGGAUACUGGCAGGCUCGAGGGCAGUAGAGGGAAGUGGAAUUCCCGGAGUAGUGGUGGAAUGCGUAGAUACCGGGAGGAACACCAGAGGCGAAAGCGGCUUCCUGGGCUGUCCCUGACGCUGAGGCGCGAAAGCGUGGGGAGCAAACAGGAUUAGAUACCCUGG
rnacentral:rRNA from 1 species